AUGAACGCCUGCCGCACGAACGGCGUCUUCCUCGAGUACGAACUCGAGCCCCACACAAACAACAGUACGUGGGGUGGAGCUUUAUACACGGGCGCGCCCACACGACGCCGCGCUCCCCACUCCUGCACGCCCGCACGCUCCGCACGCCCUAGCUCACGCACCCGUCACGCACCAACGCGAUCAACGCGGCCGGGCUCCAACAGAACGCCGCGGUCACCCCCGCCACUAUCGCCAACUACCCACGCAACAGGUGCGCACACAGACACACACCCCGCGCCACACACGCACGCACACAAGCCAUACACUAGUCAGACCAUGGCCAGACCAAGGUCAGACUAUGCCUAA
rnacentral:rRNA from 1 species